rnacentral:rRNA from 1 species
CGCCUCCCAAAAGGUAACGGAGGCGCUCAAAGGUUCUCUCAGUACGGUCGGAAAUCGUACGUAGAGUGUAAAGGCAAAAGAGAGCUUGAUUGCAAGACAUACAGGUCGAGCAAGGAUGAAAAUCGGACUUAGUGAUCCGGUGGUUCUGCGUGGAAGGGCCAUCGCUCAACGGAUAAAAGCUACCCUGGGGAUAACAGGCUUAUCUCCCCCAAGAGUCCACAUCGACGGGGAGGUUUGGCACCUCGAUGUCGGCUCAUCACAUCCUGGGGCUGUAGUAGGUCCCAAGGGUUGGGCUGUUCGCCCAUUAAAGUGGUACGCGAGCUGGGUUCAGAACGUCGUGAGACAGUUCGGUCCCUAUCCGUCGCAGGCGUAGGAAAUUUGAGAAGACCUGUCCUUAGUACGAGAGGACCGGGAUGGACGUACCUCUGGUGUACCAGUUGUCCUGCCA